ACUCCGUGCCAGCAGCCGCGGUAAUACGGAGGGUGCAAGCGUUGUCCGGAAUCAUUGGGCGUAAAGAGUUCGUAGGUGGUUUGUUAAGUUUGGUGUUAAAUGCAGAGGCUCAACUUCUGUUCGGCAUCGGAUACUGGCAGACUAGAAUGCGGUAGAGGUAAAGGGAAUUCCUGGUGUAGCGGUGAAAUGCGUAGAUAUCAGGAGGAACAUCGGUGGCGUAAGCGCUUUACUGGGCCGUAAUUGACACUGAGGAACGAAAGCCAGGGUAGCAAAUGGGAUUAGAUACCCCAGUAGUCCUGGCCGUAAACGAUGGAUACUAGGUGUUGCGGGUAUCGACCCCUGCAGUGCCGUAGCAAACGCGUUAAGUAUCCCGCCUGGGGAGUACGCACGCAAGUGUGAAACUCAAAGGAAUUGACGGGGACCCGCACAAGCGGUGGAACAUGUGGUUUAAUUCGAAGCAACGCGAAGAACCUUACCAGGGCUUGACAUCUAACAAACCUUUGUGAAAGCAGAGGGUGCUCUUCGGAGAAUGUUAAGACAGGUGGUGCACGGUUGUCGUCAGCUCGUGUCGUGAGAUGUUGGGUUAAGUCCCGCAACGAGCGCAACCCUCGUCGUUAGUUGGUACUAUCGGUAUACUUAUAGUAACCUCUCUAGCGAGACUGCCGGUGAUAAACCGGAGGAAGGUGAGGACGACGUCAAAUCAUCAUGCCCCUUAUGCUCUGGGCUACACACGUGUUACAAUGGCCGGUACAAUGAGCCGCCAACUCGCGAGAGUGAGCAAAUCUCUAAAAGCCGGUCUCAGUUCGGAUUGCAGUCUGCAACUCGACUGCAUGAAGUCGGAAUCGCUAGUAAACGCAGAUCAGCACGCUGCGUUGAAUACGUUCCCGGGUCUUGUACACACCGCCCGUCACACCAUGGAAGUCGACCACGCCCGAAGUACGUGAGCUAACCGUAAGGAAGCAGCGUCCUAAGGCAGGGUUGGUGACUGGGGUGAAGUCGUAACAAGGUAGCCGUACCGGAAGGUGUGGCUG
rnacentral:rRNA from 1 species